AGAUUGAGCGCUGGCGGCAUGCCUUACACAUGCAAGUCGAACGGCAGCACGGGGGCAACCCUGGUGGCGAGUGGCGAACGGGUGAGUAAUGCAUCGGAACGUGCCCAGUAGUGGGGGAUAACUAGUCGAAAGAUUAGCUAAUACCGCAUACGACCUAUGGGUGAAAGCGGGGGAUUCGCAAGAACCUCGCGCUAUCGGAGCGGCCGAUGUCUGAUUAGCUAGUGGCGGGGUAAAGCCCACCAAGGCUUCGAUCAGUAGCUGGUCUGAGAGGACACCAGCCACAACUGGACUGAGACACGGCCCAGACUCCGUACGGAGGCCAGCAGU
rnacentral:rRNA from 1 species